UACGUAGGGUGCGAGCGUUGUCCGGAAUUAUUGGGCGUAAAGAGCUUGUAGGCGGUCUGUCGCGUCUGCUGUGAAAAUCCGGGGCUCAACCCCGGACUUGCAGUGGGUACGGGCAGACUAGAGUGUGGUAGGGGAGACUGGAAUUCCUGGUGUAGCGGUGAAAUGCGCAGAUAUCAGGAGGAACACCAGUAGCGAAGGCGACACUCUGGGCCGGUACUGACGCUGAGGAGCGAAAGCGUGGGGAGCAAACAGG
rnacentral:rRNA from 1 species